CUAUACAUGCAGUCGAGCGGACAGAUGGGAGCUUGCUCCCUGAUGUUAGCGGCGGACGGGUGAGUAACACGUGGGUAACCUGCCUGUAAGACUGGGAUAACUCCGGGAAACCGGGGCUAAUACCGGAUGGUUGUCUGAACCGCAUGGUUCAGACAUAAAAGGUGGCUUCGGCUACCACUUACAGAUGGACCCGCGGCGCAUUAGCUAGUUGGUGAGGUAACGGCUCACCAAGGCGACGAUGCGUAGCCGACCUGAGAGGGUGAUCGGCCACACUGGGACUGAGACACGGCCCAGACUCCUACGGGAGGCAGCAGUAGGGAAUCUUCCGCAAUGGACGAAAGUCUGACGGAGCAACGCCGCGUGAGUGAUGAAGGUUUUCGGAUCGUAAAGCUCUGUUGUUAGGGAAGAACAAGUGCCGUUCAAAUAGGGCGGCACCUUGACGGUACCUAACCAGAAAGCCACGGCUAACUACGUGCCAGCAGCCGCGGUAAUACGUAGGUGGCAAGCGUUGUCCGGAAUUAUUGGGCGUAAAGGGCUCGCAGGCGGUUUCUUAAGUCUGAUGUGAAAGCCCCCGGCUCAACCGGGGAGGGUCAUUGGAAACUGGGGAACUUGAGUGCAGAAGAGGAGAGUGGAAUUCCACGUGUAGCGGUGAAAUGCGUAGAGAUGUGGAGGAACACCAGUGGCGAAGGCGACUCUCUGGUCUGUAACUGACGCUGAGGAGCGAAAGCGUGGGGAGCGAACAGGAUUAGAUACCCUGGUAGUCCACGCCGUAAACGAUGAGUGCUAAGUGUUAGGGGGUU
rnacentral:rRNA from 1 species